ensembl:miRNA Mir695 microRNA 695
UCACGACGAAUCCUAGAUUGGGCAUAGGUGACUUAAGUACACAACUACCUUUCUUACAAAGGCACUGGUUACCUUGGUCCCGGUCACCGGCUCGGCUAUCUGCUACUCG